rnacentral:rRNA from 1 species
GACGAACGCUGGCGGCGUGCUUAACACAUGCAAGUCGAACGGAAAGGCCCUGCUUUUGUGGGGUGCUCGAGUGGCGAACGGGUGAGUAACACGUGAGUAACCUGCCCUUGACUUUGGGAUAACUUCAGGAAACUGGGGCUAAUACCGGAUAGGAGCUCCUGCUGCAUGGUGGGGGUUGGAAAGUUUCGGCGGUUGGGGAUGGACUCGCGGCUUAUCAGCUUGUUGGUGGGGUAGUGGCUUACCAAGGCUUUGACGGGUAGCCGGCCUGAGAGGGUGACCGGCCACAUUGGGACUGAGAUACGGCCCAGACUCCUACGGGAGGCAGCAGUGGGGAAUAUUGCACAAUGGGCGGAAGCCUGAUGCAGCAACGCCGCGUGCGGGAUGACGGCCUUCGGGUUGUAAACCGCUUUCGCCUGUGACGAAGCGUGAGUGACGGUAAUGGGUAAAGAAGCACCGGCUAACUACGUGCCAGCAGCCGCGGUGAUACGUAGGGUGCGAGCGUUGUCCGGAUUUAUUGGGCGUAAAGGGCUCGUAGGUGGUUGAUCGCGUCGGAAGUGUAAUCUUGGGGCUUAACCCUGAGCGUGCUUUCGAUACGGGUUGACUUGAGGAAGGUAGGGGAGAAUGGAAUUACUGGUGGAGCGGUGGAAUGCGCAGAUAUCAGGAGGAACACCAGUGGCGAAGGCGGUUCUCUGGGCCUUUCCUGACGCUGAGGAGCGAAAGCGUGGGGAGCGAACAGGCUUAGAUACCCUGGUAGUCCACGCUGUAAACGGUGGGUACUAGGUGUGGGGUCCAUUCCACGGGUUCCGUGCCGUAGCUAACGCUUUAAGUACCCCGCCUGGGGAGUACGGCCGCAAGGCUAAAACUCAAAGGAAUUGACGGGGCCCCGCACAAGCGGCGGAGCAUGCGGAUUAAUUCGAUGCAACGCGUAGAACCUUACCUGGGUUUGACAUGGAUCGGGAGUGCUCAGAGAUGGGUGUGCCUCUUUUGGGGUCGGUUCACAGGUGGUGCAUGCCUGUCGUCAGCUCGUGUCGUGAGAUGUUGGGUUAAGUCCCGCAACGAGCGCAACCCUUGUUCACUGUUGCCAGCACGUUAUGGUGGGGACUCAGUGGAGACCGCCGGGGUCAACUCGGAGGAAGGUGGGGAUGACGUCAAGUCCUCAUGCCCCUUAUGUCCAGGGCUUCACGCAUGCUACAAUGGCUGGUACAGAGAGUGGCGAGCCUGUGAGGGUGAGCGAAUCUCGGAAAGCCGGUCUCAGUUCGGAUUGGGGUCUGCAACUCGACCUCAUGAAGUCGGAGUCGCUAGUAAUCGCAGAUCAGCAACGCUGCGGUGAAUACGUUCCCGGG